AUUGAACGCUGGCGGCAUGCCUUACACAUGCAAGUCGAACGGCAGCACGGGGCAACCUGGUGGCGAGUGGCGAACGGGUGAGUAAUGCAUCGGAACGUACCUUUCAGUGGGGGAUAACGUAGCGAAAGUUACGCUAAUACCGCAUAUUCUGUGAGCAGGAAAGCAGGGGAUCGCAAGACCUUGCGCUGAUUGAGCGGCCGAUGUCAGAUUAGCUAGUUGGUGAGGUAAAGGCUCACCAAGGCGACGAUCUGUAGCGGGUCUGAGAGGAUGAUCGGCCACACUGGAACUGAGAAACGGUCCAGACUCCUACGGGAGGCAGCAGUGGGGAAUUUUGGACAAUGGGGGCAACCCUGAUCCAGCCAUGCCGCGUGAGUGAAGAAGGCCUUCGGGUUGUAAAGCUCUUUCGGCCGGGAAGAAAUCGCACGGGCUAAUACCCUGUGUGGAUGACGGUACCGGAAUAAGAAGCACCGGCUAACUACGUGCCAGCAGCCGCCGUAAUAC
rnacentral:rRNA from 1 species